rnacentral:rRNA from 1 species
UACAGAGGGUGCGAGCGUUUGUCCGGAAUCACUGGGCGUAAAGGGCGCGUAGGUGGCGUCGCAAGUCGAUGGUGAAAGCUCGGCGCUCAACGCCGAGUCGGCCCUUGAUACUGCGAGGCUGGAGCACUGUAGAGGCUAAUGGAAUUCCGGGUGUAGCGGUGGAAUGCGUAGAGAUCCGGAAGAACACCGGUGGCGAAGGCGGUUAGCUGGGCAGUAACUGA